rnacentral:rRNA from 1 species
AGCAGCCACCUUUUAAAAAGCGUCAAAGCUUAACCUAAUUCCUCUAAAAUACCAUUAACCUUAAUGAACCCCUAAUCUAUAAUGAAUGACCCCAUAUAAAUAUGGAAGACACCAUGCUAGGAUAAGUAACAAGAAUUAAUAAUUCUCCAAAAUGCAAACAUACACCAGCAUGGAUAAACCAUUGGUAAUUACCGAAUCUGAACUUACUGCAACAACACUUACAAGAAAACCAUGCAGUAUUUGCUCGUUAACCUAACACUAGUGCAUUUCAGGAAAGAUUUAAAAAAAGAGAAGGAAUUCGGCAAAUGAAAGCCCCGCCUGUUUACCAAAAACAUCGCCUCUUGAUUUAUGAUAAGAGGUCCAGCCUGCCCAGUGAAUUUUUAACGGCCGCGGUAUCCUAACCGCGCGAAGGUAGCAUAAUCACUUGUUCUUUAAAUGGGGACUCGUAUCAACGGCAUCACGAGGGUUUUACUGUCUCCUCUUUUUGAUCAGUGAAAUUGAUCUUCCCGUGAAGAAGCGGGAAUACUCAUAUAAGACGAGAAGACCCCAUGGAGCUUAAAACCAAAUAGUAACUUAACCACAUAUUUCCUUAUAACUUUAAGCCUAUACUAUGAGGUUUUUGGUUGGGGUGACCGCGGAGUAAAACAUACCCUCCACGACGGAAAGACUACAAUCUUUAUUUAAGAACCACAGUUCUAAAAAUUAGCACACUAACGUUUACUGACCCGAUAAUCGAUCAACGGAACAAGUUACCCUGGGGAUAACAGCGCAAUCUACUUCAAGAGCCCAUAUCGACGAGUAGGCUUACGACCUCGAUGUUGGAUCAGGGUAUCCCAGUGGUGCAGCCAUUACUGAAGGUUCGUUUGUUCAACGAUUAAAACCCUACGUGAUCU